rnacentral:rRNA from 1 species
AUUGAACGCUGGCGGCAUGCCUUACACAUGCAAGUCGAACGGCAGCACGGGAGCAAUCCUGGUGGCGAGUGGCGAACGGGUGAGUAAAGUAUCGGAACGUGCCCAGUCGUGGGGGAUAACGUAGCGAAAGUUACGCUAAUACCGCAUACGAUCUAUGGAUGAAAGCGGGGGAUCGCAAGACCUCGCGCGAUUGGAGCGGCCGAUAUCAGAUUAGGUAGUUGGUGGGGUAAAGGCCCACCAAGCCGACGAUCUGUAGCUGGUCUGAGAGGACGACCAGCCACACUGGGACUGAGACACGGCCCAGACUCCUACGGUAGGCAGCAGUGGGGAAUUUUGGACAAUGGGCGAAAGCCUGAUCCAGCCAUGCCGCGUGCAGGAUGAAGGCCUUCGGGUUGUAAACUGCUUUUGGACGGAACAAAAAGGACUGCCCUAAUACGGUGGUCCCAUGACGGUACCGUAAGAAUAAGCACCGGCUAACUACGUGCCAGCCGCCGCCGUAACAC